GGACCCGACUGCUAUCGGGGUGAGACUAAGCCAUGCGAGUCAGCACCCUGGGCUAUGGCAGGGUGCGGCGCACGGCUCAGUAAUACACGGUCAACCUACCCUUAGGACGCGGAUAACCCCUCGGGAAACUGGGGAUAAUCCGCGAUAGGGGAGGAGGCCUGGAAUGGUUCCUCCCCGAAAGGGCUCUGGGGCCAUGCUCUCCAGAGCCGCCUAAGGAUGGGACCGUGGCCGAUCAGGUUGUUGGUGGGGUAACGGCCCACCAAGCCUAAGACCGGUACGGGCCGUGAGAGCGGGAGCCCGGAGAUGGACCCUGAGACAAGGGUCCAGGCCCUACGGGGCGCAGCAGGCGCGAAAACUCCGCUAUGCGCGUAAGCGCGACGGGGUCACCCCGAGUGCCACCCGCUGAGGGUGGCUUUUCCCCAGUCUAAACAGCUGGGGGAAUAAGGGGAGGGCAAGCCUGGUGUCAGCCGCCGCGGUAAUACCAGCUCCCCGAGUGGUCGGGACGAUUAUUGGGCCUAAAGCGUCCGUAGCCGGUCUGGUAAGUCCCCUGUUAAAUCCAGCGAUCCAAUCGCUGGGCUGCAGGGGAUACUGCCAGGCUAGGGGGCGGGAGAGGCUGGCGGUAUUCCCGGGGGAGGGGUGAAAUCCCGAGAUCCCGGGAGGACCACCGGUGGCGAAGGCGGCCAGCUAGAACGCGCCCGACGGUGAGGGACGAAAGCCGGGGGAGCGAACCGGAUUAGAUACCCGGGUAGUCCCGGCUGUAAACGAUGCGGGCUAGGUGUCGGGUCAGCUACGGGCUGACCCGGUGCCGAAUGGAAGCAAAUAAGCCCGCCGCCUGGGGAGUACGGCCGCAAGGCUGAAACUUAA
rnacentral:rRNA from 1 species